GUGCCAGCCGCCGCGGUAAUACCGGCAGCCCGAGUGAUGGCCGAUAUUAUUGGGCCUAAAGCGUCCGUAGCUGGCCGAACAAGUCCGUCGGGAAAUCCACGUGCUUAACGCGUGGACGACCGGCGGAAACUGUCCGGCUUGGGGCCGGAGGACCCGAGGGGUACGUCCGGGGUAGGAGUGAAAUCCUGUAAUCCUGGACGGACCGUCGGUGGCGAAAGCGCCUCGGGAAGACGGAUCCGACGGUGAGGGACGAAAGCUAGGGUCUCGAACCGGAUUAGAUACCCGGGUAGUCC
rnacentral:rRNA from 1 species